rnacentral:snRNA from 1 species
GUGCUGGCUUCAGCAGCACAUAUAUACUAAAACUGGAACAAUAAAAAAUAGAUUAUAGCAUGGCUCCCGUGCAAGGAUGACAUACAAAUUCAUGAAAUGUUCCAUUUUUUU